UACAGGGGGUGCAAACGUUGCUCGGAAUCAUUGGGCGUAAAGCGCACGUAGGCGGUUUGUUAUGUCGGAUGUGAAAGCCCUUGGCUCAACUGAGGAAGUGCAUCCGAAACUGGCAAGCUAGAGUACUAAAGAGGGUCGCGGAAUUCCCGGUGUAGAGGUGAAAUGCGCAGAUAUCAGGAAGAACACCCGUGGCGAAAGCGGCUCUCUGGAACGGUACUGACGCUGAGACGCGAAAGCGUGGGGAGCGAACAGG
rnacentral:rRNA from 1 species